rnacentral:RNase_P_RNA from 2 species
AUAGUACCCCGGCCUACCGCUGGCAUGCAAAUGCGAGAGGAAAGUCCGGGCGACAUAGAGCACUCCGCUUCUGAAAAUGGAAGGCGAUGGUGACAUCGGGUGCGUGCAGAAGAAAACAACCGCCUCGCAAAAGGUAAGGGUGAGAAGGUGGUGUAAGAGACUACCAGGCACUAAGUGAUUAGUGUGCUGUGCAGGCCGGAGGUCGCAAGUUCAUGUAAACCGCAGGAUGAAAGCUGCUCGCUUGAUAUUGUGCAUAACACGAUACUGCGGAGGGUAGAACGCUCGAGCUAUGAGGUGACUUAUAGAUUAGAUAAAUGGUAGGCAUUCUUUACGGCUUUCUUAGGCUGGUGAGAACACAGAACCCGGCUUACAGGGGUGCUAUUUCU